rnacentral:rRNA from 1 species
UCGGGAAUUUUGGGCAAUGGGCGAAAGCCUGACCCAGCAACGCCGCGUGAAGGAUGAAGUAUUUCGGUAUGUAAACUUCGAAAGAAUAGGAAGAAUAAAUGACGGUACUAUUUAUAAGGUCCGGCUAACUACGUGCCAGCAGCCGCGGUAAUACGUAGGGACCAAGCGUUGUUCGGAUUUACUGGGCGUAAAGGGCGCGUAGGCGGCAAUUCAAGUCAUCUGUGAAAUCUCCGGGCUUAACUCGGAACGGUCAGAUGAUACUGCUUUGCUAGAGUGCAGAAGGGGCAAUCGGAAUUCUUGGUGUAGCGGUGAAAUGCGUAGAUAUCAAGAGGAACACCUGAGGUGAAGACGGGUUGCUGGGCUGAUACUGACGCUGAGGCGCGAAAGCUAGGGUAGCAAACGGGAUUAGAUACCCCCGUAGUCCCUGAGCGGGCUGGCAAGGCGCAU